ensembl:lncRNA
AUAACGAUGUACAACAUUGAAGGUACAGUUGAAGGUCCAGUGUCCCAAGCAAACCAGAGUUCUAUACCUUCUUGCCUGCAGUUAUUUCCAUUCCAAAAUUCCCACAAGAUGUCCAGAGUCGCUUGGAUCUCAAAGAACCAGUCCAGAAAGAACAGAAGUACCGAAACAAAAUAAUUGGGACUCUUUAUGAAAUGCUGUCACAGUACACAAUGUACCCAACCCACUCAGACUACAUCCAGGUCAUCAAAGCCCUGAUUGUGAAGUAUCCUUUCUUAAGAGAUGUACACGGAAAUGGUUAUGACACCUGGCACAGCCAACUCAAGAGAAAGUUCAAAGCAGAACGCGCUCCCCUAAUCAGCAACGAAGAAGUGAACCGGGUUAAAGAAAAGUUUGGACGCACGCAGAAACAUCGGACCACAGAGGAAUCCAGCAGCUCCUGUCUGAAGAGACUGAAGCCCUCUCUCGAUUCGUGCUUUGUGGGGGAAGAUGCAGCCUCCGUUGAUGCUCAUAUCAAGGUGCUAAAUGAUCAGCACAGGACGCUACAUCCUGACACAGCACUGGUGAAAGACCGCAUGACAAAAACCUUUGCAUGGAGACGUCAAGAGGUAGCUGAAGGAAUGUGUACUGUGGACCUAUUAAAGAGAUAUCCAUUCCUGGGGACAUCUGCAGGGUUGUGUGAUGAGGUUGAUUUAAUGCAUCCCUGCCAAGACAACAUCUGUUGCCGCUUUAGCGAGAACUUCACUGCUGUUCUUCAAAAUGUUCUUCAAAUGACCAAGGAUUUGCCACUGAAGAAGGUCUACAUGGAGGCAAGAGAGAAUGCACUGGCUGAAGACAUUACAGGAAUUGACUUCAAGGGGGCACUUCUCCUCUUGCCAUCCAUCUUCAAGGAGAAGAUAGAAGAUUUCAUCAUCCUUGGAGAGGUAAAUGCAUGAUGCAAUGCAUAGCCUUUGGCCACAAGUUUCAUUCUCGGUGUUUUGUUGGCAUGGAGCUGAAUUCAGCUGCGGUUCAGCAUCACAGCUAAGCUAAUGUAGGGGAAACACUGCUGUUAAUCCACAGACUUACAGAAUGCUCUGGAAAUGAACAAAAGUUUUACAGAUGUGCAUUUUCAGGAUAAAGUGCUUCAGCGUGUGUCUGCUAUAUCUGUCAGCAGUGUCAAAUAUGAACUUGAGGAUGUUUUUGUAGUUGGCCAUGUACACACUGAAGCCAUACCUAUAUUCUUUAAAAUCAAGUAUAUUUUGAAUGUUGAUACUUGUUGGGUAUUGUGUGGGAAACUGUUACUUCCUUGCACUUAUGAAUGUCAUUUCCAUGCUUACCAAGUGGCAGUUGACAAUGACUGGAUCCUGUUCAAUCCAGGAAAUGAAUUAGACUUUCAAGCUCUAGACACCUAUUUAGUUGAUGAUAGGCUGUUUGUGUCCUUGAGGUAUUCUGUGUGACGUUGCAAGCACAUUUUCCACUUUGUCUAUAUAUAUGACAUAUAUAUAUUCUGGCUUGUUGAAGUAGAGCAAAACAUUUGUGUGGACAGUUUUUUAAAUACAUGCCAUCUCUGUGAUCCGUCAAAAACAUUGUGUUCAGGUGUUUAAUGUCUUUAUGUGAUUGUUUACUUUUUUUAAAUGAAUGUAUUUUUCUUGACAUGUCCUAUGGCAAUAUACGAAUGUAAUCAAGGAUGUAUUCCUGUGGUUGUUUAAAUGCUUUGAUGUGAUUCUAUUAUCGAAAAUAAAUGGUUAAAUAACCAAAUAUUUUGGACUAUUGGGGGUACAUUUUUGUCUCUUUAGGUACGAAAUAGGUUGUCGCUGGGGGGGUACCCUCAUAGGUACCCUAUUGUACCCUUUUCAAGGGAACAUUUCUGUACUAUAGUUUGAAGGUACAUUUAUGUCUUAGGAAAGUACAUGAUUGUACUUCAGAUGGUACAACUUCAUAAGGUACAAAAAUGUACCACGCCUAAAGGGUACAGAAAUGUCCUUCAAAAAGGAACACCCCCAGCGACAAGCAUUUGUACCCUUUUUGGUACACUUUGGUACCCCUAUUUCUGAGAGUGUAGGAAAAAGCAUGCCAUAUAUGUAAACCAAAUGCAAUCAGUGCACUUUUGGGUAAGUGAAAUAACCCUCCUGUUGUCAGCUUAUAUGUAACUGUUAACGGUUUAUGUGGAUUCAUAGAGGCAUCUGCAAGAGUUGAGACGUUUGUCUUAGUUCAACGUAGACCUAAAAGCACAUGAUCUAAACUGAACAAAACAAAAGAAAACAAAGAAAGUACAAUAGAGAGAGAGCACUGAUCAACUUUCUGUUGAUGCUAAAUGGCAAACCUGUGAGAGAAAUUAAAAACUAUAACCAGACUUCUACAUGUUUAUUAAAG